GUGGUAGCGAAGAUGAUGAAGAUGAAGAUGACGGAUAAUUUUUCAAGAAGAGAUCACAAGAUCAAUUUAUGUUUUGAUCAUAUCUAGUACUGAAGAAUAAAAGUUUGCAAAAUUGUCGAAUGAUCAUAAGAGGUGGUUUAAGUUUAAUGUGUGGAUUGCAUGACUCGCUAGUUUACAGCUACUGAAGGAGUUUUAAUGGAUUCGUAGCCAGGCUAACCGAUAACGAAGUUGCUAAGCUUUCAGCUGAUGGGCAGUUGUUCUGUAUAUGUUCUAAUUUAAUUAGAAGCAGAAGCAGAAGCACAAGUGGAUGUUGGAUUUUCGGUCUUCAGCAGUAGCACGGUUCGAUU